rnacentral:sRNA from 1 species
GCAAUAUAAAAUUACCGAUGUUUUAGAGCUAGAAAUAGCAAGUUAAAAUAAGGCUAGUCCGUUAUCAACUUGAAAAAGUGGCACCGAGUCGGUGCUUUUUUUUU